AGUUCAGCGGUAUCGGGAUCAAAGGAUUAGGAAGCCGCAGCUUUAAGGGAGGCAAGCAGCAUGAGAAGACUUUGUGGAGGCAGCUCUGAGCAUUUUAGGCUGAACUACGAAAAGCAACAAGAGGACAUUCUCCCCCUUGAAGAUAAUCACUUUUAUUGUUGCCAGGUCAAAGAUUCAGAUUCCACGCAGCAACCUCUGACUAAAGAACAGCAAGUCCUUUCA
rnacentral:lncRNA from 1 species